rnacentral:misc_RNA from 1 species
CGUAUACCCAAAAAUUGUAAUCAAAUCAUAUGGAGGGAGAUUCAUACAAUUUCAAAAGGGAUAAAAGAGACACAGUAAUACAAUCAUUUGCAUUUUCUGCAGAACAAGCUGCAAUUUUAUCAACAGGUGAGGAAAACCACAAAGUAAAGUAAUUAGUUAGGGGGUCAUUUUGAAUACAAUAUUCUUGGUAUACAUGUCUGGUAAAACAUAUUAAGACUGUUUUCGCUACAAAAUUACUUAGGAACCUGUACAAUACCUAAUCUUAUUAGGAAAAAAAAAAAAAAUGAAUGGCAGUAACCUACACCACCAUGAUACACAUUAGGUCUUCGAUGCAACACUUAAUUCUGCUCUCCAGCAAUAAGUAGUAGUAUAAAGAUGCUUUACAGCUAACUCUCUAUUCUCUGUACGAACAGUUCCGAGACCCGUACGAAAUAUGAGUGUCCAUCUUAAUGUACUAUCAUCACUGAUGCUUUGCCUUGCUUAAGAUCCGUAAUAAGUCUUCCGACAAAGCUUCAAAUCUAUCUAAAAGAUUUUCUCUCAAGGAUAAACCUCAACUAAUAAAUGACAAAAAUUGAUGCCUCGCCUAGACAAGGCAAAUUUUACGGAGUCUUCAUUCCGUUUCGAAAUAACUAUCAUAUAUAGAAAGUCGAUCAAAAGCAUCAAAGUUUGCCUUUAGUCCAACAAAUUGACUACUUAGUUGAGCACAACCUGCAUCUGGCCAGCGGCAACCUCCAUCCCUUGUGCGCAAUGGGCAUAAAGUUUCACACACUCUACCAAUACGAUUGUCAGAAACAUCCUCUGCCACUACUGUAAUUGAAACAGAUAAGUCCGACUUCUCAUCAUUCAGCAGAUUACCAUCAGAUUCACUUUUUGAAGAAGAACACAUGAAUUUCUGUGGAGUUGCUCUGGUGUUGCUUUCCACAUCCACAGUAGUUUCACCACUUCUUGCAAAGUGAACUUUGCAUCCCAAUGACUGGAUGGCUCUCUUUAUGGCUGCAUUUUCCUUGCUGGCCCUCUUAGCCAAGGCUGUUGCAGAGCUACUGAUCUUCUUCUCAUUCUGUAAUUCUGCAGAUAAUGACUCCAUGGCUUUUGUGAUUUCUGUAGCCUUUCUUUCUGCCACUUCUUUUGCCUGUUAGCAUUUUAAACCACCCAAUGACUAAAUAAGAAAAUAACAGCGCCAUCUUGUAAUUUGGUUGAAACUAACAAAAGGUCAACAACAGCAGUCUCCCUAAGAUUUGGUUGAACAAGCAAGCCAAUCACAUGCUAUUGGCUUUGGAAAAUAAAACAUUCCUUCUGCAGUUCUGAAAAUUUUAUGGACACGUUCCUACAUUGAGCUUCAAGUUCCCCAGCUUGCGCUUCUGAGGGACAAGCCCAUCGAAGAUGGAAUUGUGGCCAAAGAGUUGGGGCUAAGGCUGCUGCUGGGGGCAACAGUGGACCACCAUGCUCAUGUGGAUCAUAAAAAAUGUUAUAGUGUGAAUGAGAUCUCCCUUCUAAAGAACGCAAAUCAGCCAAAUAAGCCCACAUGCAUCCACAAGCUUCAGAUACACCAACUUGCUGCCUCUCUUUUUCACUGUUGCAGAAGAAGUUACCGAAACGACAUGAAAUUACAGUGUCCAAUAAAUCCACCAAGAAAGCCGAGGAAAACUCAAAAGCAAAUGGAUACAUUCGCAGCAACUGUGAGACACAAUCAACCCACUGCAAAAAUAUGGGAGAAUAGUUGUUCUGUGCAUGAGAAGAACUAGGAGUUUGAGAUGUGAAUGAUCCUGAUGACUGGCGCAUAGGUGAAGGUGGAAAACUCCCAACAGAAGACUGACGGGAUAAUUCAAGAGGCAUAUUGCCAGUUCCAGAUACAGUUGGCAUUCCCACACGAUCUGCAAAUGGAUGUCCAAAUGCUAGCCAAUCCUUUUCAAUAAGUGCCUGAAACCCAGUGAAUGUUCGGUAGUAUGGGUCAAGCAACAAAUUAGCGAGUGAUACCAGCUGAGUAGUUCUAUCCCAUCCAUCACUGCAAUGUACAAGCACUGAUGCCGACUCCAAAGCAACACGUGCAGCAAUCCAAACUGAACCAGCCAAAACACUUUGAACAUGUAUCAGCCAACCGGUGUCACCAAGGGUUGAUACUGAGGCAGACAUACUACUGAGAUUGCCCCCUCCCCAAGUCCAACCACCAUGUCUCAGAAAUGAUGAAAUUCCAUCUGAUGAAGUGGUGCCAUGAGUAUCUAAGUAGUCUCUAAGACGAGAAAGACUCUCUCUCAUUGCAUGAAUGUUGUCGAUUCCAAAGAAAACUACCUCAGAUUGAAAAUAAUUAGAAGAAGACUCCGAGCCACCUCCCAUUGCUCCAUUUGCUAAAGCAUUUUUUCUGGGCCUUGCAUCAGCUAUAUACAACUUCCUUCGGCCCCCUGCACCGGUAAGUUGAGAGCAAAGUGCUGCAACAAGCUUUUCAUCUGUGUUGUUCCUCAUAUUCAUCAUAAGACCAACCAAGGGUUGGGAUGAUCGUGCAAGAACAGCUCCGGUUCCAGGAUGACACCAAGAAACUACAGGUAAUCGACACCUGGCACGAAAGCUGGAUGCCUGGAGCACUUCUUCAUCACUAAUGGAUUUUGGAACAAGCAAGGCAAAUGGAUAACUCUGACACAUUGAAUAGUUGCAAUUUACAGUACUGAUCCUCCACAACUCAUUAGACAGUGUAUAAGAUCCAUGCUCAAUCAUAUCCAUUGAUGCACUAAGAGAGCCUUUUCCAAGAAGACGAAAAUACUCGUUCAGCAACCGCACUUUUGGGUUAGCAUUUCUGAAUUUUGAAGGUCCACAAGUAAAAGCGUAAAGAUCCCAGAGUACUGAAGGCUUCGUACACCUCAGUAAUGCAUCAAAUACAACACGUCUCUGCUUUGUUUUUGGACGGAAACCAAAGACAACUAUUCUCAUAUCUUUUCCAAUGACCUGGAGAAGUCGCAGUGACGGAGUCUUGUCUGGUUGACGGGAAGCUGAUUGAUUCUUUAUAACCAUUUUGUUGAACUUCUCAAUUGUCGCCAAUGGAAUUGUGCCAAGAGUAACGACAUUUUCAGUCCCCUCGCUCAUAAAAAUCAGACGAAAAUUCGUAACUAUCAAUGUACCAGCUUCAUCGAUAUUAACAAGAACAACUCCACGCCCCUCAACCAUAACCCGCUCAGCCUCGAGCAAACACUUGUAAUUUGCAUGAUGAGAAAUCGAGCGCGCGACAGGAUGCGGUUCCUCGAGCUUGAACAAAUCGAAGGCGUCGUCCCAGCCACCGCUGCCCUCCAUCUUCUCGGACUCGGCGGAGUAGUCUCUGAGCGACGUCGAUCGGCUCUGCUUUGGCGCAGCCAUGCGGCGGUCCGAUGAGAGAGAGAGACCGUCGUUGAAGAAUUGUGUGAUUAAGGAGAGACAGACCGAAAGAGACACGUGGGCUUCGGCUCACUUACCGUUCAAUGGGAGGAAAC